CUGCAGGCAUCCUAAGCCAUUGUUCUUUCUGCUCUAUGAUUGGCCCCCUGUUUUGUCAUAGAUACUUGGGUUAGAAUAAAAGGUUAUAAGGGGGAGGAAAGGGCAGGAGAUUCACAGACACCUUCACAGUGAAUACUGUGGGUCCAGGAUAAAGCAGGAAACUGGGCACAUGGAUUUAGAAUCCUAGAAGAAUCAAACUGAAAAGGACUUAAGCAUCCCUCUUCUCUGCAAAGGAGCCAACAUUCUGAAGCCCCUCAAGGGGGGACGAAGCAGGCCCUGAGCCUGACCCUCCACCUGGAAGUUCAAGGCUGAGCUGUCUUUGGAAGACCUACAAUGAAAGAGGAAUAGAUUUUGAUCAAGAAAUGGAGAAGAUUUCAAUGGUGUUAAAGAUGGUGGCAGAUGGGGAGAGAUGGAAUUAGAAAAUCACCACCUGGAAAGACCACAGUCAUAAUCGUUUCAGGACAGAUCAACAUCCUGAUAUAUGCAUGAAAAAUGUGCAACCUUCAUCUACUUAGGAAGACCUAUCAGACAAACCCAAAGUGAGGCACAUUGAACACCAGAGCAGGCCUGUAUUCUUCAACAGUGUCAAGGUCAUGAAAGAAAAAGAAAGACCAAAGAACCACUACAGAUGAAAGGAAGAGAACAGGACAAUUAAAUGCAAUGUGAGAUCCUUGACUGGACUGGACCAGAAUAAAAACAUUAGUGGGACAACUGAAAAAAUUGGAAUAUCUAAAGAUUAGAUGAUAGCGACAUAUCAGUUGAUUUCCUGAUGUUGAUCUUUGAACUCAUUUUACUCACAUCAUUGUGACUGUGUAAGAUGUUUAAAUUUGGGAAGUCAGAAUAAAGGAUAUACAGUAAUAUUUUUAUAUUCUUUAAAGCUAUAAAUGAUUUCAAAACGAAAAGUUAAAAAAAAAAUCAAAGCACUACUUUUCUGUGGGUAGACAAUAUGUCCAUCUGGUUUUGAACUUGGUAAUUUCAGUUGAACGUGAUAGUUGUGUGUUUUACAGCACACUUCUAACAGUGUCUUUAGUCACCCAGAAGCUGAGAUUAGGUGAUUCAGACUAGGUGAUUAAAUUUCACGAUACACUCCAUGGAUGCAGUCAUAGUCAUACGGUAAUUAAAGGCACUCAGAAACGUUGGUGUUGGUGGAACCUGGGAAGGAAAGUUGGAAGCAUAUGAAAAAGGGACAAGCACAAUUCUCAUCUUUUUUCCUUGCUAUCUUUUAUUCUGGCUUGCUAGUCACAAUCAGCUUUCGGCUGCAAGCCAACCCAGAAGAGAUCCAGUGUCUUCAAAAUAUAGGUUCUGCUUUGUUUUGGUUUUGGUUUGGUUUUUGAGACAGGGUCUCACUCUGUCACCCAGGCUGGAGUGCAGCGGCGUGAUCUUGGCUCACUGCAACCUCUGCCUUCUGGGUUCAAGUGAUUCUCCUGCCUCAGCCUCCUGAGUAGCCAAGGUUACAGGUGCCCACCACCAUGCGUGACUACUUUUUGUAUUUUUAGUAGAGACGAAGUUUUACCAUGUUGCCAGGCUGAUCUUGAACUCCUGACCUCAGGUGAUCCAUCCCCUUCAGCCUCCCCAAGUGCUGGGAUUACAGACAUGAGCCACAGCACUCAGCCCAAAAAACAGGCUGACCAAAAACACACUUGUGAUCUUAGAUUCAGCCCACUAGUAGAAGAUUCAGAGAGCGGUAGGGAGUGGGGUACAGGAUGUGACUUCCAGUCACCCCCACUUGGAAAAUUUCUGCCGACCUAAAGUCUAUAGUCUGAUAGGCAGAUUCGGGGUGUUUGAGAGGAGACUAGGUAAAGAAUAAAACCAAGUCAGGUUCCUGGUCAGGUGCUCAUCUUCAUGUAGCCUUCAAAGCCAGGAAGGAGGGCAUGCUAAACAAAGGCGCCCAGGAGCCAAGAGUGGAUGGACACGCUCCCCAGGCAUCUUGCUACACUGUUGGCAUUUUCCUGCAAGGCUACAUUUCUCCUGGAAGUUAGAGGUUUAAGAAGUUUAUUCGUUAUGGUUCCCUUUCUUUGGAAACAGAAGACCUGGUCACUCCAUUCCAUCUAAAUGAAAAUAGCUUUAAAUUAGACCUGAUAUUUGAUGCUUUUUUUUCUUCAUAUGAGUUGUUUGGCUGUGUGCUUAAUUUGCAGUGAAUCUGAGAGACCUAUUCUAAUAUCCUUGCCUACAUGAGAAAAAUUCAGUAUAAACUCAUUCCUUUCUGAAUCAUUGAGAGACUAUGGGUAUGAUAAAAUAUGGCAAUUACUCUACAGGUCAUAUUCAGAAUAUUAAUGUUUUUUAAAUGUGAAAUAAGCAGUGACAGGUGACACUGUGCAUUUCUUACAUUUUUAAUAUACCCCAGAGCUGCGAAAUGGUGCUGGUGGAAGUCAUCCCUGCUGUAUCCGUUGUCUGCUACAGAGAGAGAAAAUCAUUAGAUUUUUGCUGGGGCAGGACAUCCCAUCUUUCUGUUUAGACCUUUAGACACUGUACAUGUGCCUGGACUCCCAAGUAGGCUAAGUGAUGCACUCUCGAGGAUCCAGACGCCCAGGCUUAGCCUUUGUGCUUCCUCCCAGGUUAAAUAUGCAAAGAUGCAAGAAGUACUCAUGGAAAUGCCAUUUGCACCCACUUCUAAAUUUUCUUGUAGGUAAGGAAGCAGAAUGCAAAUGGGUGGAUUUAAACUUUAAUUUGGAACCCCUUCUCUUACCAAUGCUAAACUUCCCCGGUAGAAAAGUUGUUUGGUCAUGUGCACAUACAACUAGUUCCCACCUCCCACAGCCAGAGGCUGCCUGCUGCCUGAUGAAAAAUGUGUUUAAAAUGGAACCGUUUUGUUGUUGUUGUUAAAUCUGAGACACCGAGAUAGGGCACUCUUUCCCAGAAGGACUUGCACAAAUGGAGGGUCUUUAAUGAAUACUGAUAGGUCUGAAUCUGAAAUGAAAGAUUAACAGCUAUGUAUGCCAGUGACAGAUGUUGCAACCCAGUACAGCACAGCCUCAUAUGCCGUCAGCAUCACUCCCAACAGAAUUAAAGUAGAACUGCUCAUUAAUAUAGAGAACAUCUCCUGUCUUUCUUCUGCUUGAAAAGAGCCACACAGUUUCCUCAACACCAGACUGGUUGUAUUAAACACUAGUUAGAAUUUAUUGCUUUGGCACAGCCUUUUGGUGGGGAGCUUUAUUGUUGAAUUUAAUUCAUACAAAUCUCGUUACGUUUGAAUUAUUUUGCAGUAAAAACAAAAAUGAAAGACAGUGCUAACAUGUACAAGCAAUUUUUACUUAUAUUUGAAGGUACAGAAAAAUAUCAGAAAUGCAUAUAAAUAGCAUUUUUAAAUGUUUUGCUCAUCUAAACCAGGCAACAGUCAUACAAAUAAAGCAAAUUAGAGAUAAGAAGACACAGAAGGUAAACUGCUCAGUGUCCACCAAUCAGUAGAAAAGCCCUAAUCAGAACUAGGAGUUCUGGAAAGCCAGGCCAGAACAAAGAACAGAAGGGCUGGGGGCAGUGGAAUAAGAUGUUCUUUUGCCAUGGUGAGAUCAGGAAGUUCUCAGAUAGACCACACCUUAGAUACUGGUCGAUUUCAUUUUUCAUCUCCUCUAGCAAUACAUUGUAUUUCGGAGAAUUAAUAUUUUAGAUUUGAAUGGAGCAAUGUCAAAUGCACUCCUUUUUAAUUGUCUCAAACCAUAAUUUAUACAUAUCUCAAAAGUUUAAAUAAAAAUGAGGAUUUUGUGAUUUUUCAAAAAAAAAAUUACCUACUUUGAAGAAUCCCAAAAUGCAAGGAAUACACUAACUAAAAUAGGUUAGUAAGGAAGCUUGUAUAUUUUCAAUGACAAAAGCAGCUCUCAGACAUUUGUAUGGUUGUUUUCUGGUAAUAAGGUAGUUAAACUUGAGUUAGGAAAGGAUUGAUCUAGAGGUACAAGGAUAAAGAAAAUAGAAAACAGGAAAACUAAAGGGUUAGGCAUAUUAUUUCAGCAAUUCCUAGCUUGACCAUUAAUGUAAUAUCAUGUCAUUUUUUUUUUCUAAUACGUUGUUUUGUUCAUGUCAUCCGAGCUGGAGUGCAAUGACGCUAUCAGCUCACCGCAACCUCUGCUUCCCCGAUUCAAGCAAUUCUCGUGCCUCAGCCUCCCAAGUAGCUGGGGCUACAGGCACCUGCCACCAUGCCCAGCUAAUUUUUUUGUAUGUUUAGUAGAGACAGGGUUUCACUGUGUUGGCCAGGCUGGUCUUGAACUCUUGACCUCAGGUGAUCUACCCACAUCCACCUCCCAAUAUCAUGUUAUUCUUUUGCUUCGUGGCAUUUACCAUAAACUAUCAUUAUUCAGUUCAUUUAUCAGUUUAUUACCUUUCAAAUGCAAGUUCUAUGUGAUCAGAGGGCCAACCUGCCAUCUUCAAAGUCCUAAAGAUAAAUCCUCGGCCAGGGCCUGACACUUGGUAGACAGGCACUCAAAGAUAAUUUUUUAAAGUAAAUAACAAGGACAUGAACCAA